GUUGGGUGUGGUGAUGCACGCCUGUAGUCCCAGCUACUCGGGAGACUGAGGCCAGAGGAUUGCUUGAGCUUGGGAAGUCAAGGCUGCAGUGAGCCAUGAUCACGCCACUGCACUCUAGCCUGGGUGACAGAGCAAGACCCGGUCUCAA
rnacentral:sRNA from 1 species